GCCUGGGUGGCUCAGUCAGUUAAAGCAUCUGACUUCAGCUCAGGUCAUGAUUUCAUGGCUUGUGGGUUUGAGCCCUGCAUUGGGCU
rnacentral:tRNA from 1 species